rnacentral:rRNA from 1 species
GGGUCAGUAGGUUGGUCGUGCCACCGGUACGUACUGGUCUCACUGAUUCCUCCUUCUUGAAGAACCGUAAUGCCAUUAAUUUGGUGUUGCGGGGAAACAGGACUGUUACUUUGAAAAAAUUAGAGUGUUUAAAGCAAGCUAACGCUUGAAUACAUUAGCACGGAAUAAUGAAAUAGGACGAUCGAUCCUAUUUUGUUGGUUUCUAGGAUUGACGUA